GUGAGGAAUUUUCCGCAAUGGGCGAAAGCCUGACGGAGCAAUGCCGCGUGAAGGAUGAAGGCCUAUGGGUUGUAAACUUCUUUUCUCAGAAAAGAAUUAUGACGGUAUCUGAGGAAUAAGCAUCGGCUAACUCUGUGCCAGCAGCCGCGGUAAGACAGAGGAUGCAAGCGUUAUCCGGAAUGAUUGGGCGUAAAGCGUCUGUAGGUUGUUUAAAAAGUAUUCUGUCAAAGAUUAGGGCUUAACCCUAGAUAGGCAGAAUAAACUUUUAAGCUAGAGUUUGGUAGAGGCAGAGGGAAUUCCCGGUGGAGCGGUGAAAUGCGUAGAUAUCGGGAGGAACACCAGUGGCGAAGGCGGCUUCCUGGACAGUAACUGACGCUGAGACGCGAAAGCGUGGGGAGCAAACAGGAUUAGAUACCCUUGUAGUCC
rnacentral:rRNA from 1 species